CCUACGGGUGGCAGCAGUAGGGAAUAUUGCUCAAUGGGGGAAACCCUGAAGCAGCAACGCCGCGUGGAGGAUGAAGGUUCUCGGAUUGUAAACUUCUUUUGUUAGAGAAGAUAAUGACGGUACCUAACGAAUAAGCACCGGCUAACUACGUGCCAGCAGCCGCGGUAAUACGGAGGGUGCAAGCGUUACCCGGAAUUACUGGGCGUAAAGAGCGCGUAGGCGGGAUAGCAAGUCAGAUGUGAAAUCCUAUGGCUUAACCAUAGAACUGCAUUUGAAACUGUUAUUCUAGAGUAGGGGAGAGGUAGGUGGAAUUCUUGGUGUAGGGGUGAAAUGCGUAGAGAUCAAGAGGAAAACUCAUGGCGAAGGCGACCUGCUAGAACGUAACUGACGCUGAUGCGCGAAAGCGUGGGGAGCAAACAGGAGUAGAUACCCGUGUAGUC
rnacentral:rRNA from 1 species